GAUGAACGCUAGCUACAGGCUUAACACAUGCAAGUCGCGGGGCAGCGCAUGGGGCAGCAAUGUCCCUGGCGGCGACCGGCGGAUGGGUGAGUAACGCGUAUCCAACCUGGCCCUAUCUCGGGCACAGCCCCUCGAAAGAGGGAUUAAUUCCCGAUGUUCCCACGGGUCCGCAUGUUCCCGUGGGCAAAGGCAUUUUGUCGGAUAGGGAUGGGGAUGCGUUCCAUUAGGCAGCCGGCGGGGUAACGGCCCACCGGGCCUUCGAUGGAUAGGGGUUCUGAGAGGAAGGCCCCCCACACUGGGACUGAGACACGGCCCAGACUCC
rnacentral:rRNA from 1 species